rnacentral:rRNA from 1 species
UGGGGAAUAUUGCACAAUGGGCGCAAGCCUGAUGCAGCCAUGCCGCGUGUAUGAAGAAGGCCUUCGGGUUGUAAAGUACUUUCAGCGGGGAGGAAGGCGAUAAGGUUAAUAACCUUGUCGAUUGACGUUACCCGCAGAAGAAGCACCGGCUAACUCCGUGCCAGCAGCCGCGGUAAUACGGAGGGUGCAAGCGUUAAUCGGAAUUACUGGGCGUAAAGCGCACGCAGGCGGUCUGUCAAGUCGGAUGUGAAAUCCCCGGGCUCAACCUGGGAACUGCAUUCGAAACUGGCAGGCUAGAGUCUUGUAGAGGGGGGUAGAAUUCCAGGUGUAGCGGUGAAAUGCGUAGAGAUCUGGAGGAAUACCGGUGGCGAAGGCGGCCCCCUGGACAAAGACUGACGCUCAGGUGCGAAAGCGUUGGGAGCAAACA